CUUUCCUCUUUGUUUUUCACCUUCCUUGCUGUGCGAUUUUCUCCCUCUUCAUCGUUCCCUCUUUUGCUGCCAAAUCUUUGCUCUUUCUUCGCAGAAUAGUCGUUAGAAGAGAUCCUGACUUUAAUUUUAUUUUGGAUUUGGUUUCGGGUCUUCUCCGGUGUGCAACCCUUUGUUUGAUUUUAUUGGGUGUUUUGUUUCCGGUCUUCUCCGGUGACGAACCCUUUGUUGGCCAGCGUUUUGUUCUCAUCAGGUGCUUUGGCCGACGGACUCACUUGCCCAGUGGCGAAAGGGAGUUGUAGCUGGUGCUGAAAUUAGAGAUUCCGGUGCCGGGUCGUCGACAAGUUCGAUCAUCGCUGCCACCAGUUCACGCAGGCCUCAUCUCUAAGCUUUGGGAUCUGUAGACUGCUACAACUGCAGAGGUCAAACGCCGCAGCAGCCUCGCUCCGUUUUCCAAAAUCCUCUUCACUUAGGCACUAUGAGUAUAAACUAAUGAACAAAGGUGAAGGCGAUAUCUAUUUAUACGGUUGGAGUUCAGAGUGAAAGUUUACUUUGAUGCUAAUAGGUUGGAUCACCAGGUGAAAUUUUCAUUUUGAGAUGUAGAUAUACGUUCGCUGCUUGCAUAUAAAUUACUUUGUUUACCUGCAACCACUUGCUUGAUUGCCCUGUUGUUUUGGCUGCUUACUCAACCUUUUUAUACGUAGGAGAGAUUUGAGUUUUAUCAUUACAACUAAAUGUCCAUAGACACAUGAUACAGAUUGAAGCAAAUGUCAAAUUUAAAAUGGUAUGAAUCAGGACAGCUGCAAACUGUGAUUUGCGGACCUAAAACGGAAAAGUAACUUCGCGCUUCACUUCGGCAGCAUAAUCCAGCUUUCGAGUUCAGUUUUCAGUUGCUGACAGAAUGGAUAGGAUGCCAAAAAGAAAGGUGGCAUGAGGAAUAAUGGCUUUUUUGAGAGAAUUAGAGUUUGAUCUCUUCAUUUGGGUUGUGCAUAUUUCCUUUGAAUUAAUUUGGGUUGUGAGGAAGUGAAUAAUUAUUUGAAUUAAUUAAUUUCUCUUGAGUUGUGCAAAUUUCCUUUGAAUUAAUUUGGGUUGUGUUUGAGCAUUGUAUAGGCAUGAACGUGGGUAAAGAGUACGUGGAUAAAGGGAAGAGAAAAUGCUGUGAUCAUCCACCUCAAUCAAUUUAUUGAGGUAUUUUUUGUACCUUUUUUCUGUUUAAAAUUAUAUGUUUUUAAUCUUUUAGGAGUAUAUCAUCGAGGAUUUGCCACAAAUUUAUGAGAAUUUCAUUUCAUCCAAACAAUGGGCGUUGAAAUAACUUGGAAUCAGCUUUUCACAUAACAUGGAUGAUAAAUAUAAGAAACUCAUACACAUAAUUACUCCACCAAGGUAUAUUGUACAGAUUUAUACCACCUGGCAAUCAACGACUAAUUUUACUUCCAAGAAGGCAAGACAAACAUAUGGCAUGUCACAGUGGUAUAUUUUUCACUAACAUAUGGUAAAAUUGUACACAUCACAUUAGGCAAGUUUCAAUCUUUUUUGCUUCCAUUGUAACACAUUUCUAAUUAACAUUUCGUACUAAAUUUUGAUUAAACUUUAUUUAAAUGUUUGAUUUCAGAAUUUCACAAGUCGUACCACCUCAAUAAUAAGAAAAAAAAUACAUUUGAUCUCCGGUUAUAAGUUGUAUUCACAACUGUCCAAGAGAGUGCAGCAAAAGGUCAAUUUUUCCUUGGAAGCACCUCAAGCUGGGAGCAAAUCUGAUAUGAGAAUGUAAUUGUGGUGGAGAAUAUAGAGAAGAUGGUAGGAUCUUAUUUUCCAACAGAUAAGGGCAGUUUUUGGUUUUGGCAUUUAAGAUAUUUAAUUAGGGUUUCUCUUGCAAUUGUAGAAUUUGUUAAUUUUGGAAGCAUGAAUUAAAUGUUUGGGAUUAACUUACAAUGCUUCCUAUCAAAACCAAUCAAAACCAUUUUCUGAAUCUAAUGUUACAAUGUUGUGCACUCUCAUUGAUAAGCAGAUUUUCAUUAUGAUGAAUUUUCAGUCUUUCUCAAAAUCUCCAUAACUAAAAUUCAUGUGGCAUUCGGUGUGAAUUUUGUCGGAUUUGUCUCAUUGCAUUGUAUUGAUUUCUUGUAUUGUUACCAUGCCCAUCAAUUUUUCCUUUUUAUUCCUAACUGUUUUCACUUUCAAGGAAAAGAGGUUUCUUGUUUGAUGCCUUGCAGGAAAGCUGUGGUUUUGACAAUUAGGGCAAAUAAACGUCACUUAUGAAGAGGAUGAUUGCACCAUCCACCAAGUUGGAAAAGGAGGUGAAUCUUUGAUAUGGCAGAUCUGGAACUUUUACGUAUUGAUUUUAACCAACUCCUUUUUAGGUGUAAUUUUGGACUU